CAAAAAGCAUAAAAUCUGAAACCCGAUGAGCACAGGGCUCAGAGUCACGUGGGAGGCGUGACAGUUAAAAAGGUGCUCCUCUCGCUUGCCCCCUCAGUCAGGCGCCGUCUCUCCACAGCCAGCGGAACCAUGAGGAUGCUCCUGUGCGCCGCGCUGCUUCUGCUGCUCUGCAGCUCGCAAGUUCAAUCUCUCAAGUGCUACACCUGUGAGAAUGAUCCAAAAUGCAAAACAGAGACCGAAUGUCCACCCUCAAGUCAGUUCUGUAGGACUGAGGCCACAGCUACUGCAUUCUCUAGGAGCUGUGAGGAAAUCUGUGUUCCCUCAGUCACGGUGACCUGCUGUACUGAAGACCUGUGUCCCCUGUGAAGACAGCAUCUCUGCAGUCUCCUCUUCUCUCUGGGACUUCUUGGAGCACAGAUUAACUCUGUCUUCUGCAUGUAUCUAGCACUAGAAAAAUUGUCAAGAUGUUUGAAAAAAUCAAGUAAAUAAAUGCCCAUUAAUUCAUCAGAUAUUUUCCUCUCUGUAUUAGUCAAAUAACAAAAUAAAAGAUGAUUGUAUCUAGUUGAUCCACAGUAACCACCCCUUCAGUGUUUGUGUCUGUGAAUUUAGACAAGAUGUAUUUAAAUUAUGUUUCAACAUACUGAAGUCUUUCUUAUUCUGUUUUGUUACAGGCAUUCUAAAAUGUUUUACCAGUUUCAGAAUAUAAUUGAAAUUGCAUGGCAUUUCCAAAUUUUGAGAAUUUUAAUGCAAGUACAUAUUCUUCACAUUCUUAUCUUCUCUCUUUGUAUGAAAGACAAGUUUUACUUACUAAAAAUGCCCGAUGUCACCUAAAAACGUAGGAAAAAUCAAGAAGUGUGGUUUAUUUACUGCUACAUCUUUCUUUAGCGAUGAUUUUCCAUCAUCUAACAUGUAACCAUUGUGCUACCUCUCUUGGUUGCCACGACAGCUCUUUCCAAUUCUUCGCACACACUGUAGGUUACAUCCAGGAGCUUCAGUUUCAGAUGAAACUGUCCUGAGAUGUGUAUUGUUUGGCAAAAAAUGCUUCUAUGUGCACAUAUAUUUCAACUUUCUUUCUUGUAAAAUCACAACAAUAAACUUAAUAAAUAAAUCAUUAUUAGUGCAGAUUUA